AUGCCCGUCGUACCGGCCAGCCGGCAUUUUGAUGUCUACCACGCCGUUGCUGAGGAAGAAGCUGGCGUCGCGUCCAGCGAAAGCGACGAUGUCAGCGCACGAGACAACCCCACCGCACUCCUUCUCAAGCUUCGCCUUUGCGGCGUCGAUCACCUCGAAGCCGCGGAGGCUGGGGAAGUUUGGAAUGCCAAGCUUCUCCGGCUCCGGGUUGGCCGUCGUCGCGUCUAG
rnacentral:rRNA from 1 species